AAAAGAAGUCCAAACCUGUGUGUGCCAAUCCAGACGAUGAUUGGGUCCAGAGGGAGAUGAAGAGGCUGGAUCCAUCAAUGCUGCAUUAGAACGAGAAAAAGAAGAAGAAGAUCACAGUGGACAUCUUUAUCUAGCUGUCCGAGAUCGGAUAUCAUCUUUAGUCAUGUACACAGUUUACUAAUACAGAAAUAUGUUGUAUACUUAAUGUUAGAGCCAGUAUAAGUAAAAUAAUUUAUGUGAACCAUCUAUGAUACUAUUCAACUGUGUGUGUAUGUGAGAAAAAUGUAUCCUUAACAUGCUGUUAACAGAUAAGUUGAGGUUUUUUAAAAAUAUACACAGAUUUGCUCAUUUUUGCAUCGGCACUAGAGUUGGACUUUGUGUUUUUCUUUUGCAAAUAAAGAGCAAAACCAAACAGAA